UUGAGAGUUUGAUCCUGGCUCAGAACGAACGCUGGCGGCAGGCCUAACACAUGCAAGUCGAGCGAAGCCUUCGGGCUUAGCGGCGGACGGGUUAGUAACGCGUGGGAACGUGCCCUUCACUACGGAAUAGUCCCGGGAAACUGGGUUUAAUACCGUAUACGCCCUUCGGGGGAAAGAAUUUCGGUGAAAGAUCGGCCCGCGUUAGAUUAGGUAGUUGGUGGGGUAAUGGCCUACCAAGCCUACGAUCUAUAGCUGGUUUUAGAGGAUGAUCAGCAACACUGGGACUGAGACACGGCCCAGACUCCUACG
rnacentral:rRNA from 1 species